rnacentral:rRNA from 1 species
UACGUAGGGGGCAAGCGUUGUCCGGAAUUAUUGGGCGUAAGGCGCGCGCAGGCGGUUAUUUAAGUUUGGUGUUUAAGGCCGGGGCUCAACCCCGGUUCGCACUGAAAACUGGAUGACUGGAGUGCGGGAGAGGAAAGUGGAAUUCCACGUGUAGCGGUGAAAUGCGUAGAGAUGUGGAGGAACACCAGUGGCGAAGGCGGCUUUCUGGUCUGUAACUGACGCUGAGGCGCGAAAGCGUGGGGAGCAAACAGG